rnacentral:lncRNA from 1 species
AUGUGCCCAAACAAGGCUGUUAGUGAGGAAAUGCCACGCUUCCUGUCUGCUGCUCCUCUGCUUCCUGUCUGUCGCUCCUCUGCUUCCUGUCUGCUGUUCCUCUGCUUCCUGUCUGUCGCUCCUCUGCUUCCUGUCUGUCGCUCCUCUGCUUCCUGUCUGCUGUUCCUCUGCUUCCUGUCUGUCGCUCCUCUGCUUCCUGUCUGUCGCUCCUCUGCUUCCUGUCUGCUGCUCCUCUGCUUCCUGUCUGCUGUUCCUCUGCUUCCUGUCUGUCGCUCCUCUGCUUCCUGUCUGUCGCUCCUCUGCUUCCUGUCUGCUGCUCCUCUGCUUCCUGUCUGCUGCUCCUCUGCUUCCUGUCUGCUGCUCCUCUGCUUCCUGUCUGUCGCUCCUCUGCUUCCUGUCUGUCGCUCCUCUGCUUCCUGUCUGCUGCUCCUCUGCUUCCUGUCUGUCGCUCCUCUGCUUCCUGUCUGCUGCUCCUCUGCUUCCUGUCUGCUGCUCCUCUGCUUCCUGUCUGUCGCUCCUCUGCUUCCGGUCUGCUGUUCCUCUGCUUCCUGUCUGCUGCUCCUCUGCUUCCUGUCUGCUGUUCCUCUGCUUCCUGUCUGUCGCUCCUCUGCUUCCUGUCUGCUGCUCCUCUGCUUCCUGUCUGCUGUUCCUCUGCUUCCUGUCUGUCGCUCCUCUGCUUCCUGUCUGCUGUUCCUCUGCUUCCUGUCUGUCGCUCCUCUGCUUCCUGUCUGCUGCUCCUCUGCUUCCUGUCUGCUGCUCCUCUGCUUCCUGUCUGCUGCUCCUCUGCUUCCUGUCUGUCGCUCCUCUGCUUCCUGUCUGUCGCUCCUCUGCUUCCUGUCUGUCGCUCCUCUGCUUCCUGUCUGCUGCUCCUCUGCUUCCUGUCUGUCGCUUCUCUGCUUCCUGUCUGCUGCUCCUCUGCUUCCUGUCUGCUGCUCCUCUGCUUCCUGUCUGCUGCUCCUCUGCUUCCUGUCUGCUGCUCCCCUGCUUCCUGUCUGUCGCUCCUCUGCUUCCUGUCUGCUGCUCCUCUGCUUCCUGUCUGCUGCUCCUCUGCUUCCUGUCUUCUGUUCCUCUGCUUCCUGUCUGUCGCUCCUCUGCUUCCUGUCUGCUGCUCCUCUGCUUCCUGUCUGUCCCUCCUCUACUUCCUGCUUCUUCCUGCUUCUCUCCAUGAAGCCUCCUCUUGUGUCGUCUCACACCUCCUCGUCUCCUCGCUGCCCUCGGCCUCCUUUCCUCCACAGCCUUUUCCUCCAGCCUGCUCUUUCUCCCUGUUCACUUUCUAUUCAAUUUGCUUUAUUGGCGUGA